AGUGAACGCUGGCGGUAGGCCUAACACAUGCAAGUCGAACGGCAGCACAGUAAGAGCUUGCUCUUACGGGUGGCGAGUGGCGGACGGGUGAGGAAUACAUCGGAAUCUACUUUUUCGUGGGGGAUAUCGUAGGGAAACUUACGCUAAUACCGCAUACGACCUACGGGUGAAAGCAGGGGAUCUUCGGACCUUGCGCGAUUGAAUGAGCCGAUGUCGGAUUAGCUAGUUGGCGGGGUAAAGGCCCACCAAGGCGACGAUCCGUAGCUGGUCUGAGAGGAUGAUCAGCCACACUGGAACUGAGACACGGUCCAGACUCCUACGGGAGGCAGCAGUGGGGAAUAUUGGACAAUGGGCGCAAGCCUGAUCCAGCCAUGCCGCGUGGGUGAAGAAGGCCUUCGGGUUGUAAAGCCCUUUUGUUGGGAAAGAAAAGCAGCAGGUUAAUACCCCGCUGUUCUGACGGUACCCAAAGAAUAAGCACCGGCUAACUUCGUG
rnacentral:rRNA from 1 species